rnacentral:rRNA from 1 species
CAGCAGCCGCGGUAAUACCGGCGGCCCGAGUGGCGGUCACUCUUAUUUGGCUUAAAGCGUCCGUAGCCGGGUUGGGAAGUCCUCCGGGAAAUCUGGCCGCUUAACGGUCAGAAUGCCGGAGGAUACUCCCAGCCUAGGGAGCGGGAGAGGCCGAGGGUAUUCCCGGAGUAGGGGUGAAAUCCUAUAAUCCCGGGAGGACCAACUGUGGCGAAGGCGCUCGGCUGGAACGCGUCCGACGGUGAGGGACGAAGGCCAGGGGAGCAAACCGGAUUAGAUACCCGGGUAGUCCUGGCUGUAAACGAUGCGGACUUUGUGUCGGACAAGCUAUGAGCUUGUCCGGUGCCGGAGGGAAACCGUUAAGUCCGCCGCCUGGGGAGUACGGCCGCAAGGCUGAAACUUAAAGGAAUUGGCGGG